UGUGCUUUUCUCAGUCGGAGACAGACAACCAAGUCUUUUUGUCUUUUAAACCAGAAAGACAGCUGACAGAUCUAACCGACACUCGCGCCACAGAAACUAAUUCAACAGAGCAAAGGCAGCGUGGAGUGCUGGGAUGUCAAAGGCAACAAGAUGGCUGCAAUACUACGAGCCUAAAGUGAAAAAAAGGAGCCUGAGCAGGUGCAGAAGGCAGCAGUCCCCAUCAUUGCUGCUGAGGAGGAAGAGGAAAUGUCUCGAGGGAACCCACUGGAUGUGUUGA